CAGGGAAUAUUGCACAAUGGGCGAAAGCCUGAUGCAGCAACGCCGCGUGAGGGAUGAAGGUCUUCGGAUUGUAAACCUCUUUUCCCAGGGAAGAGAUGGGACGGUACCUGGGGAAUAAGCAACGGCUAACUACGUGCCAGCAGCCGCGGUAAUACGUAGGUUGCGAGCGUUAUUCGGAUUUACUGGGCGUAAAGCGCACCGAGGUGGCUUCUUAAGUUGGAUGUAAAAUCUCCCGGCUUAACUGGGAGGCGCCAUUCAAUACUGGGGAGCUUGAGGUCAGCAGGGGAAGGUGGAAUUCCCGGUGUAGUGGUGGAAUGCGUAGAGAUCGGGAGGAACACCAGUGGCGAAAGCGACCUUCUGGGCUGCACCUGACACUCUAGUGCGAAAGCGUGGGGAGCAAACAGGAUUAGAUACCCCGGUAGUCC
rnacentral:rRNA from 1 species